rnacentral:rRNA from 1 species
UGAGGAAUAUUGGUCAAUGGGCGAGAGCCUGAACCAGCCAAGUAGCGUGCAGGAUGACGGUCCUAUGGGUUGUAAACUGCUUUUAUGUGGGGAUAAAGUGCGUGACGUGUCAUGCAUUGCAGGUACCACAUGAAUAAGGACCGGCUAAUUCCGUGCCAGCAGCCGCGGUAAUACGGAAGGUCCGGGCGUUAUCCGGAUUUAUUGGGUUUAAAGGGAGCGUAGGCUGUCUAUUAAGCGUGUUGUGAAAUUUACCGGCUCAACCGGUGGCUUGCAGCGCGAACUGGUCGACUUGAGUAUGCAGGAAGUAGGCGGAAUUCAUGGUGUAGCGGUGAAAUGCUUAGAUAUCAUGACGAACUCCGAUUGCGCAGGCAGCUUACUGUAGCAUAACUGACGCUGAUGCUCGAAAGUGCGGGUAUCAAACAGG